AUUCCCAGAUGAGUACUUUCUUUCUAAUGUUAUUUAUUUUGAUAUACUGAGGAAUUUGUAUACCGCAUUGCCUUAAAAUGCAUGCCAACAGUGGUCUAGCUCGUUAUUCGUCUCGACUUUUUUUUGGAAUAAUGCUUGCGUUUGCUAAGUAUUUUGAGGAGGCAAUUAAUAUCAGUAUAUCAAUUAUAAGAGAGGAAUUUAGUAUAAUUGGAGUAUAUUUGCACGUUUUGAGUUGUUGAUCGUAAUCUUAUUACUUCAGAUGUUUUCAUAGCGACUUCUGGUACCCAUUGUAUAUUUAUAAUUAUUGUAACA